GAUGAAGAACGCAGUGAAAUGUGAUAAGUAAUGUGAAUUGCAGAGUUCAGUGAAUCAUCGAAUCUUUGAACGCACAUUGCGCCCCUUGGUAUCCCGAGGGGCAUGCCUGUUCGAGCGUCAUUUCACCACUCAAGCCUGGCUUGGUGUUGGGCGACGUCCCCUUUGGGGACGCGCCUCGAAACGCUCGGCGGCGUGGCACCGGCUUUAAGCGUAGCAGAAUCUUUCGCUUUGGAAGUCGGGGCCCCGUCUGCCGGAAGACCUACUCGCAAGGUUGACCUCGGAUCAGGCAGGGAUACCCGCUGAACUUAAGCAUAUCAAUAAGCGGAGGA
rnacentral:misc_RNA from 1 species